ACUCGCCUCAAGAUAAGAUCCCUCGCCAGGAUAACUGGGUAAGAUCGCAGGUAGACUACCUGCUUGAUAGGCGGCAAGUGUAAGUGCAGCAAUGCAUUCAGCUAAGCCGUACUAAUGAUCGAGGGCUUAAC
rnacentral:rRNA from 1 species